CAAUAGCGUAUAUUAAAGUUGUUGCAGUUAAAAAGCUCGUAGUUGGAUUUCUGGCGGAGUGUCCUCCGGCUGACAGUUCGUUUGGUCCGGAGCGCUCCACCAUCCUUCUGUUAACCGUCACGGGAUUUACUUCCCGAGUCGGGGCUCAGAUAUUUUACCUUGAGAAAAUUAGAGUGUUUCAGGCAGGCUAGCGCCGGAAUACAUUAGCAUGGAAUAAUGGAAAAGGACUUCAACCUCUUCUGUUGGUCUGGGAGGCUGUAGUAAUGAUUAAUAGGGAUAGUUGGGGGCAUUAGUACUUAACUGUCAGAGGUGAAAUUCUCCGUAUUUAGUUAAAGACUAACUUAUGACGAAAGCAUUUGCCAAGGAUUGUUUUCUAUUAAUCAAAGAAACGUAAAGGUUAGGGGAGUACAAAGAUGAUCAGAUACCAU
rnacentral:rRNA from 1 species